rnacentral:rRNA from 1 species
AUAACGGUCCUAAGGUAGCGAAAUUCCUUGUCAGGUAAGUUCUGACCCGCACGAAAGGUGUAACGAUUUGGGCGCUGUCUCGGCAGCAGACUCGGUGAAAUCUUAGUACCUGUGAAAAUGCAGGUUACCCGCAACUAGACGGAAAGACCCCAUGGAGCUUUACUGCAGCCUGAUAUUGAAUUCUGGUCAUACAUGUACAGGAUAGGUGGGAGACAAAGAGACGUGCACGCCAGUGUACGAGGAGUCGACGUUGGGAUACCACUCUUGUGUGACCGGGGUUCUAACCUGGUAUCGAGAACAGGUACGGGGAGAGUGUCAGGUGGGCAGUUUGACUGGGGCGGUCGCCUCCCAAAGAGUAACGGAGGCGCCCAAAGGUACGCUCAGAUUGGAUGGAAACCAAUCGUCGAGUGCAAUUGCAGAAGCGUGCUUGACUGUGAGACAGACAAGUCGAACAGGGACGAAAGUCGGGAAUAGUGAUCCGGCGGUGCCGAAUGGAAGGGCCGUCGCUCAACGGAUAAAAGCUACCCUGGGGAUAACAGGCUGAUCUCGCCCAAGAGUUCACAUCGACGGCGAGGUUUGGCACCUCGAUGUCGGCUCAUCGCAUCCUGGAGCUGGAUUCGGUUCCAAGGGUUGGGCUGUCCGCCCAUUAAAGCGGUACGCGAGCUGGGUUCAGAACGUCGUGAGACAGUUCGGUCCCUAUCUGUUGUGGGCGAAGGAGAUCUGCGGAGAGCUGUCCUCAGUACGAGAGGACCGGGAUGGACCUACCGCUGGUGCACCGGUUGUUCCGCCAGGGGCAUAGCCGGGUAGCUAAGUAGGGAAAGGAUAAGCGCUGAAAGCAUCUAAGCACGAAGCCUACUCCAAGAUGAGAUCUCCCAUUCGCAAGAAGUAAGACCCCUUAAAGACGAUAAGGUAGAUAGGCCAGGGAUGGAAGUGCAGUGAUGUACGGAGUUGACUGGUACUAAUCGGUCGAGGACUUAAUCAG